rnacentral:rRNA from 1 species
UUUAAAUUGAGAGUUUGAUCCUGGCUCAGGACGAACGCUGGCGGCGUGCCUAACACAUGCAAGUCGAGCGAUGAAACUUCCUUCGGGAAGUGGAUUAGCGGCGGACGGGUGAGUAACACGUGGGUAACCUGCCUCAAAGAGGGGGAUAGCCUCCCGAAAGGGAGAUUAAUACCGCAUAACAUUAUUUUAUGGCAUCAUAAAAUAAUCAAAGGAGCAAUCCGCUUUGAGAUGGACCCGCGGCGCAUUAGCUAGUUGGUGAGGUAACGGCUCACCAAGGCAACGAUGCGUAGCCGACCUGAGAGGGUGAUCGGCCACAUUGGAACUGAGACACGGUCCAGACUCCUACGGGAGGCAGCAGUGGGGAAUAUUGCGCAAUGGGGGAAACCCUGACGCAGCAACGCCGCGUGAGUGAUGAAGGUUUUCGGAUCGUAAAACUCUGUCUUUAGGGACGAUAAUGACGGUACCUAAGGAGGAAGCCACGGCUAACUACGUGCCAGCAGCCGCGGUAAUACGUAGGUGGCAAGCGUUGUCCGGAUUUACUGGGCGUAAAGAGUAUGUAGGUGGGUGCUUAAGUCAGAUGUGAAAUUCCCGGGCUCAACCUGGGAGCUGCAUUUGAAACUGGGCAUCUAGAGUGCAGGAGAGGAAAGUGGAAUUCCUAGUGUAGCGGUGAAAUGCGUAGAGAUUAGGAAGAACACCAGUGGCGAAGGCGACUUUCUGGACUGUAACUGACACUGAGAUACGAAAGCGUGGGUAGCAAACAGGAUUAGAUACCCUGGUAGUCCACGCCGUAAACGAUGAAUACUAGGUGUCGGGGGGUACCACCCUCGGUGCCGCAGCAAACGCAUUAAGUAUUCCGCCUGGGGAGUACGGUCGCAAGAUUAAAACUCAAAGGAAUUGACGGGGACCCGCACAAGCAGCGGAGCAUGUGGUUUAAUUCGAAGCAACGCGAAGAACCUUACCUAGACUUGACAUCUCCUGAAUUACUCUUAAUCGAGGAAGUCCCUUCGGGGACAGGAAGACAGGUGGUGCAUGGUUGUCGUCAGCUCGUGUCGUGAGAUGUUGGGUUAAGUCCCGCAACGAGCGCAACCCUUAUUGUUAGUUGCUACUAUUAAGUUAAGCACUCUAACGAGACUGCCGCGGUUAACGUGGAGGAAGGUGGGGAUGACGUCAAAUCAUCAUGCCCCUUAUGUCUAGGGCUACACACGUGCUACAAUGGCUGGUACAACGAGCAGC